GCUGGGCAUGGUGGCGCAUGCCUGUAAUCCCAGCUACUUGGGAGGCUGAGGCAGGAGAAUCGUUUGAAUCCAGGAGGCAUAGCUUACAGUGAGCCAAGUCUGUCACUCUAGUCUGGGUGACAGAAUGAGACUCUGUCUCAA
ensembl:misc_RNA Metazoa_SRP Metazoan signal recognition particle RNA